rnacentral:rRNA from 1 species
CCUACGGGAGGCAGCAGUGGGGAAUCUUGGACAAUGGGCGCAAGCCUGAUCCAGCCAUGCCGCGUGAGUGAUGAAGGCCCUAGGGUCGUAAAGCUCUUUCGCCUGUGAAGAUAAUGACGGUAGCAGGUAAAGAAACCCCGGCUAACUCCGUGCCAGCAGCCGCGGUAAUACGGAGGGGGUUAGCGUUGUUCGGAAUUACUGGGCGUAAAGCGUACGUAGGCGGAUUAGUCAGUCAGAGGUGAAAUCCCAGGGCUCAACCCUGGAACUGCCUUUGAUACUGCUAGUCUUGAGUUCGAGAGAGGUAAGUGGAAUUCCGAGUGUAGAGGUGAAAUUCGUAGAUAUUCGGAGGAACACCAGUGGCGAAGGCGGCUUACUGGCUCGAUACUGACGCUGAGGUACGAAAGUGUGGGGAGCAAACAGGAUUAGAUACCCUGGUAGUCCACACCGUAAACGAUGAAUGCCAGUCGUCGGGUAGCAUGCUAUUCGGUGACACACCUAACGGAUUAAGCAUUCCGCCUGGGGAGUACGGUCGCAAGAUUAAAACUCAAAUGAAUUGACGGA